GCCUUCGUGGCCUAACGGAUAUGGCGUCGUCUUUCGAAGCCGAAGACUGCGGGUUCGAGUCCCCGUCGAAGGUA